rnacentral:rRNA from 1 species
UAGGGAAUCUUCGGCAAUGGACGAAAGUCUGACCGAGCAACGCCGCGUGAGUGAUGAAGGUUUUCGGAUCGUAAAACUCUGUUGCCAGGGAAGAAUAGUUAGGCGAGUAACUGCGCUUAGCAUGACGGUACCUGAGAAGAAAGCCCCGGCUAACUACGUGCCAGCAGCCGCGGUAAUACGUAGGGGGCAAGCGUUGUCCGGAAUUAUUGGGCGUAAAGCGCGCGCAGGCGGUUAAGUAAGUCUGGUGUAUAAACCAAGGGCUCAACCUUUGGACGCAUUGGAAACUGUUUGACUGGAGUGUAGGAGAGGAAAGUGGAAUUCCACGUGUAGCGGUGAAAUGCGUAGAGAUGUGGAGGAACACCAGUGGCGAAGGCGACUUUCUGGCCUAUAACUGACGCUGAGGCGCGAAAGCGUGGGGAGCAAACA